rnacentral:rRNA from 1 species
UAGUCCACGCCGUAAACGAUGAUAACUCGAUGCUGGCGAUACACAGUCAGUGUCCAAGCGAAAGUAUUAAGUUAUCCACCUGGGGAGUACGAUCGCAAGGUUGAAACUCAAAGGAAUUGACGGGGGCCCGCACAAGCGGUGGAGCAUGUGGUUUAAUUCGAUGAUACGCGAGGAACCUUACCAAGGCUUAAAUGUAGAAUGACCGUUCUGGAAACAGGACUUUCUUCGGACAGAUUACAAGGUGCUGCAUGGUUGUCGUCAGCUCGUGCCGUGAGGUGUCGGGUUAAGUCCCAUAACGAGCGCAACCCCUAUCUCUAGUUGCCAGCGGGUUAAGCCGGGGACUCUAGAGAAACUGCCCGUGCAAACGGAGAGGAAGGUGGGGAUGAUGUCAAAUCAUCACGGCCCUUACGUCUUGGGCUACACACGUGCUACAAUGGUUGGUACAAAGGGCAGCUACCUGGUGACAGGAUGCUAAUCUCAAAAGCCAAUCUCAGUUCGGAUUGGAGU